AAAAAGGGUGUUUACCGCCUUGAUGGUACGUACGCCGAUAUCGGUGUGCGGGGUAUGGUUAUCAAGACAUACCUAACACAUAAUUUUUGUACACCAGAGGUAGUUGGAUACCAAUAAGUACCGGCACCUCU
rnacentral:snRNA from 1 species